rnacentral:rRNA from 1 species
GACGAACGCUGGCGGCGUGCUUAACACAUGCAAGUCGAACGGAAAGGCCCUGCUUUUGUGGGGUGCUCGAGUGGCGAACGGGUGAGUAACACGUGAGCAACCUGCCCUUGACUUUGGGAUAACUUCAGGAAACUGGGGCUAAUACCGGAUAGAAGCUCCUGCUGCAUGGUGGGGGUUGGAAAGUUUCGGCGGUUGGGGAUGGACUCGCGGCUUAUCAGCUUGUUGGUGGGGUAGUGGCUUACCAAGGCUUUGACGGGUAGCCGGCCUGAGAGGGUGACCGGCCACAUUGGGACUGAGAUACGGCCCAGACUCCUACGGGAGGCAGCAGUGGGGAAUAUUGCACAAUGGGCGGAAGCCUGAUGCAGCAACGCCGCGUGCGGGAUGACGGCCUUCGGGUUGUAAACCGCUUUCGCCUGUGACGAAGCGUGAGUGACGGUAAUGGGUAAAGAAGCACCGGCUAACUACGUG